AUGCAUCGGACUCGGAUGACGAUGGUCCUGAUGAAGAAGUUGAUGAGGAGGGGUUCACACCAAAGGAGGCCGAAGCAUUCAAGAAGGUAUUCGGGCGGGAUCACAAGACACCAUUGUUCAAGGAUCUUAGUCUCGCGGAUGAAGCCGUUGUGGAUGGUGGAAAAUGCAUAUCUCUUGGAGCUAGGCCAAGUUCUCACCGUGAUUUGGAAGACGGCAAGAACGGGAUAUAUCCCGGUUGUGAGUUUCAAUCCUUCUUGGAAUUGA
rnacentral:rRNA from 1 species